rnacentral:rRNA from 1 species
CACGUAGGGUGCAAGCGUUGUCCGGAAUUAUUGGGCGUAAAGAGCUCGUAGGCGGUCUGUUGCGUCCGCUGUGAAAACUCGGGGCUUAACCCCGAGCCUGCAGUGGAUACGGGCAGACUAGAGGUAGGUAGGGGAGAAUGGAAUUCCACGUGUAGCGGUGAAAUGCGUAGAGAUGUGGAGGAACACCAGUGGCGAAGGCGACUCUUUGGCCUGUAACUGACACUGAGGCGCGAAAGCGUGGGGAGCGAACGGG